UGCCCGCCCCCCGGGGAGGUGUCACCCCCCCCCCCCCACCCACGCUGUCCCGGGGACGCGUCGUGCCCGUGACCCGGCGGGAGGGGGAAAGUUCGCCCGACGGUCAUGGCUCACGUGGGGAGUGCGCUUUCCGGUCACGUGGGAAGUGCUGGCGGAAGUCAGUGCCAAGCGCCGGGCGGAAGUCGGGUGGCAGCGGCGGGACGGAGCGGGGGCCAUGGAGGUGACGGAGCCCGGCCCCGGGCCCGGCCCGGCCGCUGAGAGCCCGGCGGAGCAGAGCCCCCCGGGGCUGGAAGGGGAGCCCCAUCACGGCGCCUACACCACCUUCAUGAAGUCCCAUCGCUGCUACGACCUGAUCCCCACCAGCUCCAAACUGGUCGUCUUUGACACUUCCCUGCAGGUGAAGAAGGCUUUCUUCGCGCUCGUCACCAACGGCGUGCGGGCUGCCCCGCUGUGGGACAGCAAGAAGCAAAGCUUCGUGGGUGAGCGAGGGGCCGGGGGGGCUGGGGGGAACUCGGGGGUGCCGUGGGGACCUCACCCUGCCCCCCCCCCAGGCAUGCUGACCAUCACCGACUUCAUCAACAUCCUGCACCGCUACUACAAGUCUCCCAUGGUGCAGAUCUACGAGCUGGAGGAGCACAAAAUAGAGACGUGGAGAGAGGUUUACCUGCAGGACUCCUUCAAGCCGUUGGUCUGCAUCUCCCCCAACGCCAGCCUCUUCGACGCCGUCUCCUCCCUGAUCCGCAAUAAGAUCCAUCGUCUGCCCGUCAUCGACCCCGACUCGGGGAACACGCUCUACAUCCUCACCCACAAACGCAUCCUCAAGUUCCUUAAGCUCUUUAUAGCAGAGGUCCCCAAGCCCGAGUUCAUGGCCAAGACGCUGGAGGAGCUGCAGAUCGGCACCUACAGCAACAUCGCCGUGGUGCGCACCAGCACCCCCAUCUACGUGGCCCUGGGCAUCUUCGUGCAGCACCGCGUCUCCGCUCUGCCCGUUGUGGAUGAUUCGGAACCUGGCAGCUGAGAAGACCUACAACAACCUGGACGUGACGGUGACGCGGGCGCUGCAGCACCGCUCCCACUACUUUGAGGGCGUCCUCAAGUGUUACAAGCACGAGACGCUGGAAACCAUCAUCAACCGCCUGGUGGAGGCCGAGGUUCACCGGCUGGUGGUGGUGGACGAGAGCGACGUGGUCAAGGGCAUCGUGUCACUCUCGGACAUCCUGCAGGCCCUGGUCCUCCCGCAGGGCCCCUGAGGUGGCUGGGGGGGGGAUUCAGCCCCUCCCGGUGCCCCCACCCUCCUCUCCUGCCCCUUCUUGCCGUGUCCCCUGAGCCGGCGGGGACAACAGGGGCAGGGCCCCCCCCACUCACCAGCAGUGUCCAGCAAUAACCUCCAGCCCUGGGCAGCCCCCCGGCUCCCCCCACACCGCACCCUGCACCCCAAAGCCAGCCUGGUGGGUGCGGGGGGCACCCCUGGGGUGCAGGGACGGUGUAGCCGCCCCCGGCUGGGGCUGAUCCCUGCGCGGAGCCUCGUCCCGCGCACGAGGCUUCACUGAGCUCAGUUUUAAUCACCCACCCUCCCUGAGCUCGGUUUUAAUCACCCACCCUCCCUGAGCUCGGUUUUAAUCACCCCCCUCCCCGAGCUCGGUCCGGCCCAGUGCUGCCCCCCCAGGGGCCACAUCCCCACCCGUCACCGCUUUGUACACAGAGGGAAAUGGCGAAUAAACACAAACCUGCCACAAA